rnacentral:rRNA from 1 species
GGGCCUUCGGGCUCGACCUCCAACCCUUUGUGAACACAACUUGUUGCUUCGGGGGCGACCCUGCCGUUCCGACGGCGAGCGCCCCCGGAGGCCUUCAAACACUGCAUCUUUGCGUCGGAGUUUAAGUAAAUUUAAACAAAACUUUCAACAACGGAUCUCUUGGUUCUGGCAUCGAUGAAGAACGCAGCGAAAUGCGAUAAGUAAUGUGAAUUGCAGAAUUCAGUGAAUCAUCGAAUCUUUGAACGCACAUUGCGCCCUCUGGUAUUCCGGAGGGCAUGCCUGUUCGAGCGUCAUUUCACCACUCAAGCCUGGCUUGGUAUUGGGCGCCGCGGUGUUCCGCGCGCCUCAAAGUCUCCGGCUGAGCUGUCCGUCUCCAAGCGUUGUGAUUUCAUUAAUCGCUUCGGGGUGCGGGCGGCCGCGGCCGUUAAAUCUUUCACAAGGUUGA